GACGGAGGAUGCAAGCGUUAUCCGGAAUGAUUGGGCGUAAAGCGUUCGCAGGUGGCUGUUCAAGUCUGCUGUCAAAGACCGGGGCUUAACCCUAGAAAGGCAGUGGAAACUGAACGGCUGGAGUGCAGUAGGGGUAGAGGGAAUUCCCAGUGUAGCGGUGAAAUGCGUAGAUAUUGGGAAGAACACCGGUGGCGAAAGCGCUCUGCUGGACUGCAACUGACAAUGAGGGACGAAAGAUAGGGGAGCGAAAGGG
rnacentral:rRNA from 1 species